CACGAUGUGAAUUGAGAUAAGGUUCAUGGUCUCUGGAGAUGCAAUUAUGGAAAAAGUAAUGGUUGGAUUAAUCCCAAAAGUUGAUGGUACUUUUUCUCAGUGAUACAACUCCCAAAGUUUAUAUACAUCAAAGGAUGGAAAUGACCAAAUCCCACGCUCCUCAUUCAGCCACGUCACCCCAUCAGUUUCCCAUCAACUCAAAAAGGUAAAAAAGAGCAGUUAAAAAAAACAGUCCUUUUUUUUUUUACUUGCCGAAAUGGGAAAAAAAGAGUCCUUUAUCUCAAUAGUGUCUCCGAUGUCUUUAUCGGUAGCAUUGAUUGGAUUUAAUGGAACGACGAAGUUGGCAAAAAUCUGCACUAGUGGUGGGGUGCAACGCGAAAGGCGUCGCGCAAUUUUGCAGAAUUUGAUGUUUUGGUUUCCUCUUUUGUGUGGAGAUUGGAGUGGUGGUGUGGAGGAGCGUUGGCAACAACUGUUUGAUGUAUUGCAUGAAUGAACCAGAGUUACUAUAAGAAAGGAGGCUUGGGUCUGUGGCGAUUGGCGAAUUCACUCACAACACACACUACAGAAAAUGGAGGAAACCCUAAUUGAUUUGUUCCGACGUCUGCAGCGGCGGCCGGCGACAUUAUUUCGGUGGUGCGAUAUCAGAUCUGAUCCGUCGUAGUUUGUGGAUUGAUUUGAUCGGAGAAGUUUCGACGGUGUGGAAUUUUGGGCGAAAGAGGGAAGAAUAUUGUAAUUGACAGAAGAGAGUGGGCUCACGCAGGCGAUUGUAUAGAGUUAUACCUUCGUGAAUGCGUGUGCUCACUUUUUUUCUGUCAGCUUCUCUCUCUACCGCCUCUCUCCCUCCCUCCCUCCCUCCCUCCGUCCUUCAAUAUACUGCGCCUUCUCUCUCUCUCUCUCUCACACACACACACACACACACACACACACACACAACAGGCGCGCGUCGUUGGCCUUUCUGUCACACCUGGUGGGCCGGUGGCCUGCCACAAGCGCCCAUGCCGCGCCACGACACAUCACUGGUACACACACUAAAUCAGGAACCCCAUGCCCUGGACAUUCUGGAGCUUGGGAUCGAGUCCUGUUGGAGUUUUCUACCACUCUUCCAUUUUUUUACUAUUUAUUUUUUGCAGCGUGUCUCUCUCUCUCUAUUUUUCAAGGUGAUAUACAGUUAUGCACACGCAAACAAUAAAAGCCACGCAAAGGUCCUGAUUGUUUAAUUCAUCAUACUUCCAUUCCACGACAGAGAGGUACGCCUGAAUUGUACUGUUCUUCUUUUUCGGGAGUUGUGAUUUUUUUUUUAAAAAUUUAUUUUUCCUUUUUCUUUUUAAUCUGUGGCCAUAUUCUGAAUCUGAGAUCACUAUAUCAAUUUUUGCUGCGCGUUUGUCAGUAUUUGUCAUUAGAAAAACACUGAUUUGCUUAUCAAAACCAUUUUACCUUUUGAGUGCGAGGAUUUGUUUAUUACUCUAUAUUUUGUUCUUGCUGGUAAAAAGAUGAUUCCUCAGGUUAUAUUUUAUGUGGUUAAUUGUCCUGAGCUGAUAAGAGUGAAAAAUAUGGAGUAGAUGGCUUUGGUCGUCGAUAUUAGAUUAUCUGCAAUUAUGUUUUCACAUUUAGGAAUGAAGAUUGUCUCCUUAGAGAAUGGUCAUAUUUUUAUUUAUUUGUCAAAUCUUUCUUUCAUGAUAUAGUGCUCAAUUAAUUUAACACGCUUACACUUUUACCUAGUUAGAGGCCUAUGAUCUCGAGAUUGGGUACCUGGGAAUGAUAAGUUCUGGACCCACAGGGUACCUAUGGUUUAACCAUCUCGUACAAGGAAUGUGAAGCGUAAAGAAGACAAUUUGAUUUAAGAAUGUUACUAGUGAUUACACUUUGUUUGGCUGGACAGAGCUACCAACAACGGAGGUGCAAGACUUUGCGCCAUAUAGCACUAAAGGUGUGCCAAUGCAAUAAGUAGUGUGCGUUAAUGCCACAAGAAAGCGUUGCUUAGUGGAAUUCAACACAGAACUAUAUAACAGAUCAUCAAUAUAUGGGAUGGUGCCACAAAUGGUUCGUGCACGGUGGCAAAAGACCAGUCGGGCCGCCCUGUCCCUAAGUCACCGGGCUCUUCCUUCAGGGCCGGGUUGGCCAAAGCUAUUGGGUUUUAGAUCAUUUUGCGUGGGACAUCCCGAAACUCCAUCAGGACUCAAAUCUACGGGCCCAAAACCGGGCAUGUUUUUGCCAGUUCUACUGGUUAUGCAUCUUGAAAGUGCCUUAAUUAGCGGCGGGCAUGGAACGGAUGGGGCUUGAAGGCCGCUUCGACCUUCAAAAAUAUAAAAUAUAAAAUAUAUCUGAAUCACCUUUCUGAAAGUGUAGGGAUGGAUGCUUGUUCGAAGAUGGGAGUGUUUUGGAUACUCAAAGUUUCAUACAUAUUCACCUGCUUCUAUUCAUCGUCACCUAUUGUUUCAUUUUUUUUUUCUUUUUAUUUUGUAAAAUGAAGCACGAUAUUCAAUAACGUUUUAUUUUCAUGCGUCAUGACUUGUUACGGCGCAAUGAAUAGACAUUUUUAUUUCCUGUUGGACAAAAGUCGUUAUUUGCAGUAAUUAACUACUUCAGUACUAUUUUACUUUUUGUUUCCCUAA